rnacentral:ncRNA from 1 species
AAAAGACUUAGUCCUAACCUUACUAUUAAUUUCUGCCAGACCUAUACAUGCAAGUAUCCGCGCUCCAGUGUAAAUGCCCCCAACCUCUUACCAAGACAAGAGGAGCAGGCAUCAGGCACACUCACCGUAGCCCAAGACGCCUUGCCUAGCCACACCCCCACGGGUACUCAGCAGUAACUAACAUUAAGCAAUAAGUGUAAACUUGACUUAGUCAUGGCAACAUCAAGGGUUGGUAAAUCUUGUGCCAGCCACCGCGGUCAUACAAGAGACCCAAAUUAAUCGUCCACGGCGUAAAGAGUGGCCCAACACUAUCGUUCCAUGCCUGAGACCAAAAUAUGUCUGAGCCGUCAUAAGCCCAAGCCUCCUUUAAGCCCCCCACCAAUCUCAGCCCCAACGACCGAUCAAUCCCCACGAAAGCCAGGGGACAAACUGGGAUUAGAUACCCCACUAUGCCUGNCCGUAAAUUCNGAUGCUUACUCCUACCCAAGCAUUCGCCAGGGAACUACGAGCACAAACGCUUAAAACCCUAAGGACUUGGCGGUGUCCCAAACCCCCCUAGAGGAGCCUGUUCUAUAAUCGAUAACCCACGCUACACCCGACCCCUCCUUGCCCCAAGCAGCCUAUAUACCGCCGUCGCCAGCCCACCUCCACCUGAGAGCCCGACAGUGAGCACAACAGCCUAACCCGCUAGAAAGACAGGUCAAGGUACAGCCCAUGGAGGGGNAAGAAAUGGGCUACAUUUUCUGACCCAGACAACCAACGAAAGAGGACCUGAAAACAGCCCUCAGAAGGCGGAUUUAGCAGUAAAACAUAACCAUCAUGCUUGUCUUAAACCGGCCCUGGGACACGUACACACCGNCCGUCACCCUCAUCACAAGGCCCCCCCCCCACCCUCAACUAGAACCAUAAUCAGCCAAAGAUGAGGUAAGUCGUAACAAGGUAAGUGUACCGGAAGGUGCACUUAGCAUAC